AUGGAGGAGGGUUGGCAUCAUUUAAAUUUAAGCGAGGGGAACAGGUUGAUCAGUAAAGCGGCUUACCACCGGGUGAAGAUGUGUGGAAACUGGAUGUCGAUGGUGCUUUUUUCUUCUUCCAGGAAACGAGAUGAAACAUGUAGGCAAUGGCAUACUACUUGCUGUAUUAGAGAGUUCACUUGCAAGAUCCUGUCGACGGUGGUUGGUGUCAAGACCUUGUCUGAAACUUGUCAAGAAAAGCAACUCAACAACUGGACACUUUUACUGUCGUGUACCUUGAGUAAUAAGGCUAUAAAAGCCAGAGAUCUCCAGCCCCUAGAGCUUCAUCCUCCUUGUGUAUAUCCCAGAGCCAUAUGUGUAUCUUGA
rnacentral:rRNA from 1 species